rnacentral:rRNA from 1 species
GGGGGGGGCGGGGGGGGGGGUGGGCGGAGGCAGGUCGGGCGGAGAGGGCGUGCGUUUGUGGGGUGCUCGCGCGGCGGGCGGGCGCGAACCAUGUGGGUACCCUGCCCGUGACCUUGGCACAAGUUCAGGGAAGUGGGGCGAAUACCGCCUCUGCGCUUCUUCUGCAUGGUGUGGGAUGGUAAGUUUCGGCGGUUGGGUAUGCGCUCCCGGCUGAUCUACUUGCUGGUGGGGUAGUUGCUUACGAAGGCUUUGACGGGUAGCCGGCCUGAGAGGGUGACCGGCGAAAUUGGGACUGAGAUACGGCCCAGACUCCUACGGGAGGCAGCAGUGGGGAAUAUUGCACAAUGGGAGGAAGCCUGAUGCAGCAACGCCGCGGGCGGGAUGACGGCCUUCGGGUUGUAAACCGCUUUCGCCUGUGACGAAGCGUGAGUGACGGUAAUGGGUAAAGAAGCACCGGCUAACUACGUG